UACGUAGGGUGCGAGCGUUGUCCGGAAUUAUUGGGCGUAAAGAGUACGUAGGCGGUUUGAUAAGUCUGAUAUUAAAGACUGGAGCUUAACUCCAGGACUGUAUCGGAAACUGUCAGACUAGAGGACAAUAGAGGAAGUCGGAAUUCUCAGUGUAGCGGUGAAAUGCGUAGAUAUUGGGAAGAACACCAGUGGCGAAAGCGGACUUCUGGGUUGUUACUGACGCUGAGGUACGAAAGCGUGGGGAGCAAACGGG
rnacentral:rRNA from 1 species